AUGCGAAAAGACCCGACUUUCGAGGAAGGGUUGCAUUUAUUAGAUACAAAACCAAUGCGGGGCAACCCGGUUGUUGGUGAUUCAUAAUAACUUUUGCGGAUCGCAUGGCCUUGUGCCGGCGACGAAUCAUUCAAAUUUCUGCCCUAUCAACUUUCGAUGGUAAGGUAUUGGCUUACUAUGGUGACCACGGGUAACGGGGAAUUAGGGUUCGGUUCCGGAGAGGGCGCCUGAGAGAUGGCGACCACAUCCAAGGAAGGCAGCAGGCGCGCAAAUUACCCAAUCCUGAUACAGGGAGGUAGUGACAAUAAAUAACAAUGCAGAGUCCUUUUGGGCUUUGUAAUUGGAAUGAGUACAAUUUAAAUCUCUUAACGAGAGCCCAUU
rnacentral:rRNA from 1 species